GGAAAUGGCGGUUUAAGAGCAUAUGGCGGAUGCCUAGACUCAAAACGGCGAUGAAGGACGCAGUAUGGCGGCGAUACGCUCCGGGGAGGUGCCAAGCAACCUUUGAUCCGGAGAUCUCCGAAUGGGGAAACCCUGCCGUGCAAACCACGGCAUGCCGUGCUUUGCAUCGGCCGCAGAAUAUCGCAGACUUGACGCAGACAGUCGCUGAAGGAAUUCGUAUGAAUUUUUUCCGCGUCGUUCCGCGUUCGUUCCGCGUUUUCCACGGCCAGUGCAGAGCAUGGCAGCAUACCCGGGGAAGUGAAACAUCUCAGUACCCGGAGGAAAAGAAAUCAAUAGACAUUCCCCAAGUAGCGGCGAGCGAAAAGGGAGGAGCCCAAACCUUGGUCGCACCUCAUUACAUUCGGUGCAACCCGCAGAACAACGCUGAAUAAACGCAGAAGGUCGCAGAAUGGAUGCAUUUGCAUUUUUUUUGCGUAAGUCCGCGUCAAGUCUGCGUAAGUCCGCGAGGCACAACGAGUGUAGUGAGGUGUGACUAGGGGGUUGUAAGGUAGUGCAUCAUCCGCCGCAAGGCGGAUGAAGGGUAGCUGUGCAGGCUAAUUGAAUCCGCUGGAACGCGGAGCCAGAGAAGGUAAUAGCCCUGUAGGUGAAAGUGCGCACACACUCUGCAUUAUUCUUGAGUACCCCGGGACAUGAUUAGCCUGGGGGAAUCCGGCAGUACUAACUGCCAAGGCUAAAUACGUUUUGAGAUCGAUAGUGAACAAGUACCGUGAGGGAAAGGUGAAAAGCAGCCCGGUAAGGGCGUUGAAAUAGUUCCUGAAACCAUAUGCUUACAAGGAGUCAGAGUCCCGCCCUCUAUCCCCGUGAAUAUAUCACUGUGGUCAUUACGAGCGUUGUAACUUGUAUUGAUUACGGUUGUCUAUUCGUUGGGAAAGAGGGCGGGAUGAUGGCGUGCCUAUUGAAGAAUGAGCCAACGAGUUUAUGAGUGCUGCAAGCUAAGGCCUUACGGGCCGGAGCUACAGGGAAACCGAGUGUGAACAGCGCGCUAUCUUGUUGGGGACAAGAUCGCAGAAACUCGCAGACUUGACGCAGAAAAUCGCGGAAUUGAGAAAUCUUUUCCGCGUCGUUCUGCGUUCCGUCGGCGUAGUUCGGCGGUCUCGCCCUCGGCGAGACACGUAGUACCCAUAAGACCCGAAGCCAGGUGAGCUUACCAUGAGCAGGGUGAACCCCGUCGAAAGGCGGGGGGAGGCCCGAACCGUUUAGCGGUGCAACACUAUCGGAUGACUUGUGGUAAGGAGUGAAAAGCUAAUCGAACCUGGUAAUAGCUGGUUCUCUCCGAAAUAGCUUUCGGGCUAGCGUUUGGUGUACCUCUUGGGGGUAGAGCACUGGAAGGAUUGAAUAGGGAGCAAUCUCGUCAAUCCUAUCAAACUCCGAAUACCAAGAGCCACUGCCAAGCAGUUAGACUACGGGCGCUAAGGUCCGUUGGUCGAAAGGGGAACAGCCCAGACCUCCAUCUAAGGUCCCUAAAUUUACGCUCAGUGCACUCAAGGAGGUGAGAUUUCUCUGAUAAUGAGGAGGUUGGCUUAGAAGCAGCCACCCUUUAAAGAAAGCGUAACAGCUCACUCAUUAAGAGAUUUUGCGCCGAAGAUAAUCGGGGCUAAGCGUAGUACCGAAGGUGAGGAUGUCAGUGCAAAGCACUGACCGCAGAAUAUCGCAGACGUGACGCAGACAGUCGCUGAAGGAAUUCGUAUGAAUUUUUUCCGCGUCGUUCCGCGUUCGUUCCGCGUUCGUCCGCGGCCAGUGCUUUGCAGUGGCAUGGUAGGAGAGUAUUCUUACUUGCAAUGAAGCUGCCGCGGUGACGCGCUGUGGAGCAGUGAGAAGGAAGAAUGUUGGCACAAGUAACCGCAAUCCACGUGAGAUCCGUGGACGCCGAAAGACUAAGGUUUCCUUGGCGAUGGUGAUCAGCUAAGGGUUAGUCGGUCCUAAGGGGAUGGCGAGAGCCGCACCCGAUGGGCACACGGUUAAUAUUCCGUGACCUCGCAGCAGUUCGAUGGAGUGACGGAGGACAUAACGGGUAGCGCAUUAUUGGAUUUGCGUCCCUGCCGGUAGGCGCGUGCUCUAGGAAAAUCCGGAGCGCUGAUUCAAUUCAAGCACCGAUGGAGGGGAAAUGCUCCGCUUCGGCGGAGGAAAUUGCCCAGACGAGCCUUCCGAGAAAAGCUUCUAAGGUUCACUGCUGUGAGACCGUACCGCAAACCGACACAGGUAGUCAGGUCGAGAAGACCAAGGCGAACGAGUGAGUGCUCCUCAAGGAACUCGGCAAAAAAGCGGCCGUACGUUAGCAAUAAGGCCCGCCCUGUCAGUGCAAAGCACUGACCGCAGAAUAUCGCAGACUUGACGCAGACAGUCGCUGAAAGAAUUCGUAUGAAUUUUUUCCGCGUCGUUCCGCGUUCGUUCGGCGUUUUCCGCGGCCAAUGCUUUGCAGUGGCAGGGUCGCAGCGAAAGAAUCCCUGGCGACUGUUUAUCAAAAACACAGCUCCCUGCGAACUCGUAAGAGGAUGUAUAGGGGGUGACGCCUGACCAAUGCCAGAAGGUCAAACACGGUUGGUUCUCCGUCUUCGGACGGUUGGCUGUACUGUGUAAGCCCUGGUGAAUGUCGGCGAUAACUAUGAAUGAUUGUAGUUAUAAAAUUUGGCUAUAUGCUGGAAACUCUGCGCAUGUUGAAGUACCGAAAGGUAACAAUCUUCAAACGAUGCAGAUAAUCAGCAGGGAAGACUCAUGGAAAUGAGAACCCUCAGAGACUACACGCCAAACUCGCCUCUCUUAAUUGGGACAAGCGAGAUGAUAUAGUCCGGCCUCUAUGGCGACAUAGAGAAUUACGUGUAGCUACUGUUUUUGCACGUAGAUUAACAUAGGCAAAUCGUCCUAAGGUUUCGCACUUCUCAAGGGAGGAGUGCGAAAGGACUAGGACUAUUUGCACUGUGAGCCACAAAUAUGCUGCCUAUCCGCGAGAGCGGAUGUCCAUAAAUAUCUGACUAUAUGCUGGUAACCCCGAGUAUCUUCAGAUACGAGCCCGUGUUUAGAUUUUAGGGCAAGUAACAAUUCUGAAGUGCGGACAAUCAGCAGGAAAGACUCACAAAAUCUGUGCUAUAAUUGGACGCAUGAACACACCGCCACAUAUCGGAUGGUAUCUGUCUGGAUUUAGUGAUGGUGAAGGGAGCUUCAAUGUUUCUCUUCGUCAAAGACCGGAUCACAGACUUAAGUGGCAGGUAGUGCUUACGUUCAACGUAGCUCAACGAGAUGUAACCAAUCUUCUGCUUCUGCAAAAACAUUUGCAGUGUGGCAGGUUGCAAAAGCGAAGUGAUGGGGUCCAUUACUUUGUCGUGACAAAUUACGUCGAAAUCGUAGAAAAGGUAUUUCCGUUUUUUGAACGGUUCCCUUUUCAAUCCGAAUCUAAAACCAAAACCUUCACAUUAUUCAAGCAAAUUGCGGCUAUCAUGUAUUCCGGAGAGCAUCUGGCCCUCAAGGGAUUUAUGAGAAUUGUCGAGUUGCGAGAAAAACUCAAUGAGGGAAAAGGUAGGAAGCGGAAAUACGAAAAACAGGAUGUAGUAAAAGAUUUUGGGAGAAUCCUCAGAAACCAAACGUCAGAUCCGUCUUGCGGAAAGACGGAAAGAUAGAGUUCGGACUCGCAUAGCGAUAUGCGUGGAAUGUCCUAGCGAAAUUCCUUGUCUGGUAACUGGAUUGCCAGAUCCGGUGGCGACAUCGGAUAAAAAUCCGGCUUAUAACGGUGAAGCCCUAAUCCGCCAAAUUGACGAAUGGGUAAUACCGUGGGAAGUCGUCCGCCGCAGGUGGAUUGACCCCGUAACGACUCAUGCGCCACUAGUUAGUGGCGCAUGGAUAGCCUGGGUAGUAUAAUGAAAAUUAUAUGAAGGGCUAUAACACGCCGGCUCUCAAGAGAGAUUUAGCGAAUUAUCUUUCCGGUUAUGUUGAUGGUGAAGGAUGCUUUUCGGUAUCGUUUUCAAAACGGCCGAAGCUUCUUGUUGGGUGGGAAGUAAAACCAAGUUUUUGUGUUGGUCAGAAUUAUGAUCGACGCGAAGUAUUGGACUUGAUGCACGAGUGCCUCGGUUGCGGCCAUAUACGCCGUGACUGGGGUGACCGAACCCUCAAGUAUGAAGUGAGAAAAUUGGAUGAUCUCAUAAAAAAAGUCAUCCCUCAUUUUGCACGCUUUCCUCUCAAAUCAGCAAAACAAAAAGAUUUUCUGCAGUUUGCAGAGAUCUGCGGGAAAAUACAAAAGCUAGAACAUAGAAAAAAGAGUACAUUGCGUACCAUUAUGAAAAAUGCGUACUCAAUGAACGGUUCAGGCAAACGAAAACGUUCGCUGAACACGUUACUAGAUUCUCUUGAGAUGAAGAUAUAGUCUAAUGCCCGCAGUAAUGCGGGGAAGUAAAAAAUGAAGUUCAGACGCGCACGAAUGGCGUAACGACUGGGGAACUGUCUCGAGGAGUAGCUCGGUGAAAAUACAGUGGGGGUGAAGAUGCCCUCUACCUGCAGCUAGACGAAAAGACCCCAGGAGCUUUACUGCAACUUGGUAUUGAGCGUACGGUCUUACUGCGUAGCAUAGGUGGGAGACUUUGAAGUGCCGUUCUCGGAUGGCAUGGAGUCGUCAGUGAAAUACCACUCUGCACGAUUGUACGAUCUAACCUGACCGGCAAAAACGGUCGGAAACAGUAUCUGGUGGGCAGUUUGUUUGGGGCGAAUUCCUCCUAAAGAGUAACGGAGGAGUCUAUUAAGGUCAGCUAGGCGCGAAUGGAAACCGUGCCGAUAGUGUAAUGGCACAAGCUGGCUUGACUGCAAGGCGUACAUGCCGCGCAGGCGCGAAAGCGGAGCAUAGUGAACCGAGGGUACGUGUUAGACGCGGCCCGAGAUUAACGGAUAAAAGCUACCCUGGGGAUAACAGGCUGGUACCGCCCAAGAGUUCAUAUCGACGGCGGUGUUCGGCACCUCGAUGUCGGCUCAUCUUAUCCUGGGGCUGGAGAAGGUCCCAAGGGUUUGGCUGUUCGCCAAUUAAAAAGAUACGCGAGCUGGGUUCAAACCGUUCAGAAGAUGAUCAAGAUAAUUGUCUUUUGGACAGUUUGAGCCCCUUUGAGGAGAAAGUUUUUAUCUUUUCGUCUAUGAAAUAGAUGAUAGAACCAAUCGCAUCACGGCGGUCGCAAUAAGUAAUUAUUGCGAACACUGCUGACUUUUCGGUAAAACCCCAUGCUGGGCAAUACCGAGGGAUUGUCAAUCCUGUAGAGGCCAUACGUCAGCCCUCCUUAAAAGGAAGAAGAGAUGGUCCAAUGCGCACAGUAAUGUGCGGGAACAUGCGUGAGACAGGUUGGUCUCCUAUCUGCUGCAGGCGUUGAUACUUGAGAAGAUUUGCUCCCAGUACGAGAGGACCGGAGUGAACCGACCGCUGGUCUAUCUGCUGUCCCGCCCGGGGCACCGCAGAGUAGCUAUGUCGGGAAUGGAUAACCUCUGAAAGCAUCUAAGAGGGAAGCCAACUUCAAGAUAAGGUAUCGUUAUAGAUCCGUGGGAGAUGACCACGUUGAUAGGCUCUAGGUGUACGCACAGUAAUGUGUUCAGCCGAGGAGUACUAAUCCAUCGACGCCGGAUCCUG
rnacentral:rRNA from 1 species